rnacentral:lncRNA from 1 species
AUUGAAGGAAGGAAUAUAUUUGCAAGCCAAUGUUUUUGAAUUGGGAAGGCUACUUACACUAAGGUAAGAAAUACCAAUUUUGGAGAAAAUCUAGAAUUUUUAUUUGGGUUUUUGAAUGAGUAUAGUUAACGGGAAUAAUUGUAGAGAUGAAAUAUUCAUUUGAAGGCAUGAAUUUAUGGAGCAAGAUGGAAAAUUAAAUUGGUUAAAUUAUAAUUAUUAGUUUUAAUAGUUUGGAAGAAGGAAUUAUUUUUAUGUUUGGAGAGAAGAUUAUUUUGAUGAAUUAGAUUUUAGUGUAAGGGCUGGAAGGUAGAAUUAGUUUCAAUUGUGAAGGAAAUUAAAGAAUAUAUCCAAUUGUCGAGAAGUCAAGUUCUAGUAUUUUGUAGUUAAAAGUUAAGGAUACUUCCUAGAGUGGUUGUUAAAUUAGUUAUUUUGUAUCAUAUUUCAGGAGAUGACGAGAAGAUUGAAAUCAUGAUUAGUCCUUAACUUGGUGAGUGGAUAUAUAAAAUUAUUUUUCAGAAAUUAGUCUUCAUUAAAUAUAAACUAAAUCAAAAAAUUUAUUAUUUCAUAUAGUUGAUUUGACAGCAUGAUUUUCAAAAUAAAGUUGAUUUAUAAACAGUUGUUUUUAAAGUUAAAUUCAGUUCAAUUAAAUCAUUUCAUUAGCAUACUAUUUCAGUAUCAAAUAUUUCAACGUAUUUAAAGUUAUUUUUAAAACCACCAGAAAGUACUCAGGUGAUUUUACCUAGUCUGCACUCUUGCGAAUGUGUUUCCACAGUGUACGACUAAUUAUGGUUAUUUUACCCGCUCUGCACUAUUAUGAAUGUGUUUCCGUAGUGUAUGACCAGAUUAUCAGAAGUCUUUGAGACCCACUCUCGUACACACAUAGGCUUUGGGCCUUGUACUAUGAUGAUUAGCCUUUGAGACAGCUCUACGUAUGUAUGACCAAACUAUCAGAUUGUCAGAUUUGAAUAGCUUUGCCUUGUACAUCGAGAUUACUUUGGACAUGAGUAAGGUUAUUCAUUUGGUACCUUUUUGAUGUGAUUUUCAGUAAUAUACAGCUUAUCAGAUUUCAGACCACAGAAUUUAGCUUAUUCAGUCUGUAGAGUAAUAAUUUCAGCUUAUAGUACUGUGAAAGGGUAUUUUCACUUAUACUUACUGAUAUCAGAUUAUUUAUAUUUAUUAUACUUUAAAGUUGCUUAUCAAGGAUGAAGAAUAAAGAAUUUUAUGAUAUAUUCAUGUUUAGUUUUAAAAAAUGUUACUAGAUUUCAGAAUUUUAUAAAGUUUUAAUAGCCCAAUAAUUUAAAGAAAAUAUUCAUAAACAAGAAAAGUAUACUUAUUUGCAAACCAUUCACUCAUUGAGUUACAAGCUCAUGUUUUGCCACCCUUUUUUUAGCAGAUAGCAGCAGAGUUGAGCAUCCUUGGAGCCUGUCGAUCCACCGAACUAAGCCACACACAUUGCCAUUAUUUGUAUGACUCAUUUUGUCAAUCUAUAGAAUUUAUAUCUUUUUUUUGACACACAUGUAUGUUUGUCGAAAAAAUUAAUUAGCAAGUCAUGUAUCCAUAUCUUGGGCUUACUGCAUAUUUGGUAUCUUUAGUGUUUUUGGGGUCUUUUGUUUGUAAAGCAUAGUAAAUAUCAACUUGCCAGCAUUUAAUUUUGAAUAAUUUGUAUUUUGAGGGACUAGAAUUUUGAAUAAUUUGUAUUUUGAGGGACUAGUGUAUCCUAUUUUAAAUUAUAUGAACGGAUUUGAAAAAAUUGGUUCUUGUUUAAAUGGUUUUAGUUCAUAUUUCAGGAAAAGCUCUGUCAAAAUGUUGUUAAAAAUAUUUUUCAGUCAAGUUGCCUUGGUAGUAUGUCCGGUAUUUAGCUGGUAUCUACCAUCGGUGCAUGACACGUGUUGAGUCCACUAAGGUGAUUUGGGAGAGGUCGUGUCAUGAUAUAUGUCCACGAAGACUCUAGACUAAGAAUUAUUCAUGGGGAUUUGAUAGUUAGCAACAUCCAUGAAUCCCAAAAUAUCUUAUUUUGGUCUCGCCAGGAUUUUUGGAGUAGUCCAAAACGAAGAAAACACCUAUGGAGUAGUUGGAACCUAGUGAUUUAUAAUCACACACCUAAAUGUUUGUAGACAAAUGACAGAGAUGACAAAUUAAAGGAAGGGCACUUCAGCCUUGACUUUUCUGAAUGUCCGAUUGCAAUGGGCAUAAGUCACCAGAAUAUGCAAUGGAAGGGCACUUUCAAUAAUGUCUAAUGUUUACAGUUUGGGGCUUUUACUGUUGGAGAUCAUCUGUGGCAGGAAGAAUAGCAGUUAUUUUCAAGACAAUACGAUGAAUUUGACUGGAUAUGUAAGUAUUUGCAUCUUUAAAAUCUAAACUGAAAUCAUUGCUUUAUUAUCAAGUUAUGCUCCAAAAAAUUCUUUGGGCUUGAUAGAACGAUGAAGACAUUGAUUGGAGUUAAACAGAGUGAAAUUAUUGUAGGUAAGUACAACUGAUUUUCAUCUCUCUAUUUCAGGUUUGGGACUUGUAGAGAGAAAAAGAGCAUUGGAUAUAGUAGAUUCAUCAGUCGACAACUCUUACGAAGACAACAAAGAUUUGAGGUGCAUUCUUGUUGGUCUUUUGUGCGUGCAAGAAUGUGCUCCUGAUCAGCCCACGAUGUCAGUAAUAGUUUUCAUGCUACAUACUGGAACAACUCUCAUCCUAAAGCAAACUUCAUCUAUCAUCAAGAAAGAUAGUACUACUCUAUACUCAUCACCAGCUAGUUUAAAAAUCAAAUAUGCGAAUAAUAUGUCAGUUAUCGUGGUUGAAGCUCCCUAAAGGCUUCCUGUAAAUACUUUCCUUUUUUAAUGUAGUUCAAGGGGUGUAUAUUAGCCCAAUAUGAGGCAAAAGGGGAAAAAAAUCAAAAAACAAAAAAAAAAAACAAAAACAAAAAACAAAAACAAAAUCUGUGCCAACAUAAAUGUUCCUUGUAUUUGACACUAUUGAUGCAUAGAGUUGAUGUAUACAUUCAG